GCCCGGCCCGCCCGCACCGCCACAGCCUGCGCGGCCCGGCCCGGCCCGGCCCUCCUGCCGCCUUCCGCUGCUACGGCUCUGCCGCGACCCCCGCGUGGGACGCCCUCCUCCACCCGGGCAGAAAAGUCACUUCGUGGGCUGCUAUUUGUGAACGCGACCUCGGCGAGAAAACCAUUUCCCACCCCGUCCGGGGCAGAUGCUCGGCGGCUCCCACAUGCUGGGCAGCUGGAAGGGAAGAGGCCGGUACCCUACUGGACUGCUCAGACUGGACUUCAGCUGCCAGUCGUAGGAUCUGGAUACACUUUGGGCAAGUUGCACACAUGUCACGUUGGAUGUGCACAUAUCCCAAGUCUUUCAAGCAUUCUUGAUGCCAACCUCGGUUUUCAUUGACAAAUACUUAACUACAGUGAUUCCAAACAAAUAUUUGAAUAUGUGAAUAAAUGUAUUAAAUGCUAA